GGGCGAUUAGCUCAGCGGGAGAGCAUCUGCCUUACACGCAGAGGGUCAGUGGUUCAAAUCCACUAUCGCCCACCA
rnacentral:tRNA from 1 species